CCCUUAGAUGUUCUGGGCCGCACACGCGCUACACUGAAGGAGGCAGCGUGUACUCCUGGAUCGAAAGAUUUGGGUAACCCGCGAAUCUCCUUCGUGCUAGGGAUUGAGGUUUGCAAUUAUCCUUCAUGAACGAGGAAUUCCCAGUAAGUGCAAGUCAUAAGCUUGCGUUGAUUACGUCCCUGCCCUUUGUACACACCGCCCGUCGCUCCUACCGAUUGAAUGGUCCGGUGAAGCGUUCGGACCGUGGCCUUUGGACGGUUCGCCGUCUGUUGGCUGCGGGAAGUUCGUUAAACCUUAUCAUUUAGAGGAAGGAGAAGUCGUAACA
rnacentral:rRNA from 1 species